GCGGUCGUGGCGGAAUUGGUAGACGCGCAGCGUUGAGGUCGCUGUGGCAGAAAUGUCGUGGAAGUUCGAGUCUUCUCGACCGCA
rnacentral:tRNA from 1 species